rfam:Dipodomys ordii contig_40789, whole genome shotgun sequence.
GGCAAUGUGGCUUUGUGGUAGAGUGCUUGCCUAGCAUGCAUGAAGCCCUGGGUUCAAUUCCUCAGUACCA